GAAAGGUACAGUGUGGGAGGGAGCAGAGAGAUUGAAAAAAAAAAUAAAUUGCAAUAUCUGAUGUUUCUGUAGGAACUAUCCCAGAGGAAGAGCGUGGGUUUUAUCGAACUACAUCUGUUCCAGCUGUCAUAACCAUCUUGCAGACAUUCAUGGCACAGAACAAGAGUUAGGAGCUACGACCUUAGGGAAUGCGUUUUGAAAUGCUGCCAGUUUAGCCAGUUGCCUCCUACUGCUGAAUUGAGCUGCAAUCUUCUUAAUCAAGGAGCUGGAUAUUAUGGCAGUACAGUAAAAAGUGAUGCAGAAAAAGAAGCGUUGCCAUGAUACGACAUUGGGAAGGUGGAAAGGGAACUGAGGAAGGACAGAAAGAUUUCAAGGCAAAAGCUCAAAAAACAUACUGCAUUUUCCUUCCAGCCCAGGAAGUACACCACAAACGUCCCUGCUUGAAAUAAAGCAGAGAAAGGAACAGCUGCAGUUCACAAUGAGGAUAGCCCAAGCGUGCAUCACAAACUCCAAGCAGUCCUGCAGGCAGUUGCAUCUCAGCAUUUCACUGGGAUCUGAGGUUCCUAAACACUAUUUGGGAGGGCUGGUUCCCAAAGGAACAGCAUUUCAGAAGAUAAAGAUUGCAGAACCGGACACAAUACUCCAGGUGAGAUCUCAGAAGAGAGGAAUUGAGGGGCAGAAUCACCUCCCUCAACCUGCUGGCCACACUGCUUUUGAUACAGCCCAGGAUACAGUUGGCCUUUUGGGCUGCAAGCACACAUUGCCGGCUCAUGUCAAGCUUCUCAUCAAUCAGCACCCCCAAGACCUUCUCUGCAGGGCUCAGGCAUGGUCUCAAUUACAUCAUGCUCCAGCCUGUAUUGAAACUGUGGAUUGCCCCGACCCAGAUACAGGACCUCGCACUUGACCUUGUUGAACCUCAUGAUGUUCACACAGGCCCACUUCUCCAGCUUGUUGAGGUCCCUCCGGAUGGCAUCCUGUCCUUCUGGUGUUUCAACUGCACCACUCAACCUGGUGUCAUAUGCAAACUUGCCGAUGGUGUACUCGAUCUUCCUGUCUAUAUCAUCAAUGAAGAUAUUAAACAGGACUGGUCCCAGUACAGACCCCUGAGGGACACCCGUUGUCACGGAUCUCCAUCUGGACAUUGAGCCAUUGACCACUACUCUCUAAGUAUGACCUUCCAACCAAUUUCUUAUCCACCAUAUGAGUAAUUCUGAUGUUUUGUGUUGGAUCAAGAUGGGAACAAAACCUGAAAUUGCCAUCAUAACUUGCAUGUCAGUCUCUCUUCAUCUUUUUAUUAAAUGUGUUUGUUCCAGUAAUGACCAAAGAAUAAAUGUGAACAGGCCCUCACUCAUCAUUGUACAAAGUUAAAUAUGUAGAAAUGUAUGUUGUAUUUUAGUGUUUUAUAUCUAAAUAUUUAGUGUUUUAUUUGGAGGCUGUUUGUGGUACAUGAUGUCCUACAUGCAGCCAGCCAGUUAGUAAGAUUAACAAGCAUUUUGUGCUAUGCAAAACUGCUAUUUUGGUAACAUUGCAUCUCCUAAUCAUAAGGCUGAAAGUGAUUUAUGAGUGUACAAACUUGCAUAUCCUCAAAUAAGAAACAACUUGUUAAUGUGGAAGUAAAAUGACACGAAGAUUGGAACAAAUUCUAAAUUUCUAGAACCAUUCUAUCCAGCUCGGGUCAGCAUAAUCCAAGUUACCGUAAGGUUUAAAAAUGCUCAUCAACACCUUGUGUGACGUGAUUCUCCAGAUCUACCUUGUCCUUAUCAACGCUUCUCUCCUGGGAAGGGUCUCUGCAAUAGGAAUAAAAGAACUACCCACUUCGGCUCAGGCAAAUUUUCAGAAACUUUCUUCUACUCCUGCUUCACACGUUAGUUUGUACCAUGGACAUACUUGUCUGUCCAUGUGCAUAUAGAGAGAAUGGACACAUUCGGAAAGCUAAGAGAGUCGUACCAGUACAGAAACUUUGAUACUGACAACUGGCUGCAAGGGACCAUCUGUCCAACAGUGCAAGGCUCUAAGACCAUUCUAUGGUCAGCAUCACUACCAAAACAUGAGUGUUGUUUCCCACACCCCUGCUACUGGACAUCUUCUGAAUAUUUUAGUAUUCUUGAUAUUACUACACAUACAAGUUCAAAAGAUCUCAGCCUAAGGUACAUCCUUCUGUAUCCCUCUGUAAAUGUUUAAUUACUCAUGCUCACAGCAUAAUGUCCAGUUGACACAGGCUUGCACACAUCCUGGUGUCUAGCUGUCCAUUACCUUACAGUCACACAAUCUUUUAUGAACACUGUGUUAGAAGACAUUUAAACAUUUUGUAUCACAGCUUAUUGAGUAUUUUGACAAAGAUAUGCAAAAUUCCAUACAAUUAUCACAAUCUUUUAGUCUGAUAAUUAAAAAAGCGAUUUAAUACUACUACAAAUAUAUUAAAAUGCAAAAUAAAAAUAUAAAAAAUUAAACUCUCAAAAUGUAGUGAUCUACUAGAUAGAAAUUGGACAUACGUAAAAGAUAUUCCUGCAUUAUAAAAUAUAACAAUGCAUGGAAAUAUACUGCAAUUACCUUGACAAUGUAACUCUAAUGUCUGCUAUAUUCUUCAUAUUUGGAUCAUAGCAAUACAACAAAUCUAACCCAAUAUUCAAAACACAGCAGAACAUACAUAAAAUCUUAACAAUUUUGACUAACAGAUAGCUGCAACAGUCUUGUUUGGAUAUGUGAUAGCUUGUUCCAUUUUUAACAUUUCUAGCAGAAAACAUGUAACUCAGCACUCUGGAGCUGAAAAGAAAUGGGAAAGUGCUUAUCAGUUCAUGACUACAUGGAAAAGAUGGCACUUGUCUCUGGCUUUGUUAUUAUUAAAAUCAGUGUUUCUGUAGAAAGCAAAUUAACAUCAUGUGCAACAAAGUGCUUUAGAAUAUGCCAACAUUGUAAUACGAACCAAUUCUAUUUCUGCUCACCAAAACAUCUGGUUAGUUUCAACAUAAUUUAAAAAUGUAUGAAACCUAGAAGCUUAAUCAUUUUGCUCAAAGUAACUGUUCUUUUGAUAAGAAUUUUACAUCACCUGAAUGAAAAUGCCUCAAAUUAAACAGAAGCAGACUUGUCUGCUUAAAUCACUCUGGGAUUUAAGCAACUUAACUUUACUCUUAGUUUGAUGUUGCUCUACUGAAAUUAAUCAGUUUUGCUAUCAAUUACUGAUGAGAGUUAGACAUACAUUUUCAAUGUAAAAAAGAAUAAAAAUCAUAUUUCAGUUUACUUCACAGUGAUUGCCACACUAAAAAAAUAGGUUUUGUCAGACACAGAUGUCUAAUUUUUAACAAUAUAGAUUAUAAUGUUUUAAUCUAAUUUCCACUGAAAUGUAAUAAGCAGCACAGUUCAACCUCCAAAGAAAAUCAUGUAUUCCCCAAAGUGCAAGUCAUCGAAGUACUUCACAGUGGUAACAACAGCCUUCUGGCACCUAAAACAUAAAUGACAUCUGCUGGCUAUUUGUUAAUUAUAUUUUUGAAUUGCUUAUGGGUACACUAGAGGAUAUAGUCCAGGCUCUGAUUUCUAUUAAUAGAUGCCUGCUGUGGAAAGCAUAAACACCCCUCUGUUGUAUCCAGCCAUUUUAUACCUAAGACAGUAAGUGCCCUUAUUUUAGAUCAUCUGCUCAUAGUAAAAUACAACAAACUGCUGCUCUCCUUUAAUAUAUAUGUAAUAGCCAUAUGAAUGCACAAUGUGAAGUCUUCUAAGUUUUAUGAAAACGUUUGUAAGCACACAAGAAAGACAGAAUAAUUUGAGACAGCAGUUGUGUUUAAUGCUUUCAUAGACCUCUGAGUUCAGUAAUCCUUCAGAAAUAAGUUAGGUUUAGUUCAAAGGGGUGUUUAUCACAGCUAUCUAAAUGUCUUGAGAUUAGACUAGACUGUAAAUAACAUAAAGUGAGCUUUCUUACUAGGCAUCUAUUAAUUUCUCUUUUGAUCACUCGGAAACAAUUCAAGUGCAAUAAGAGUCUGAGCCAAAACCCAGAACUGUUGAGCUAGAACGUUACACAAUGUUUUGAUAACUAUUGAGUUCCAGAAAGUUCUGACAAAAUCUUAGGUCUGCUUCUGUUUACUUCUUCAGUUUUACUGAACUGGCUAAAUCUAAAGAAGGGCCACAGGUAUGGAAGUUUUUUCCUAAGUUUUAGGACCACUAUGGAUACAAAAGCUAGUCCGUAAUACAGAAGCUCAAAUAUUCUUUCCCACCACCACUGUUAAAUCCCCACCUCUUUCUACACUCAGGAGGAUGAACUAUUAUAAUUAUGCUGUAAGUAAUGCUAUUAAAUUAACUGCUCUUUUGCAAACCAGGAGAUAGCCUCUUAAGAAGUUUUAGCCUGUUUUUUAAAAAAAUGUCCUUGAAAAGUAUAUACUCAGGGUAGACACAAACAUUUACAUGUUGCAACUCGUGGUACAGAUAAAAAGAAUUUCAUAAAAACAGAUUACGUAUGUAUUGACAAGUUGGAUAAGAAUGUAAAGACUAGUCUAGGAGCAUGUAUCUGCUACUUUUGGCACAGAACAAGCUCGACAUUACACCUGCCCUGGCUAGGUGAAAGAUUGUCUAAAUACGAAAAGGCAGAACAAACACUAACAAUGAAGCUUUCAUGUGAGGAGCUGGAGAACUAUGCAGUAUAAGGGCAGGGCUGAUAGAAAUGUCUGCUUAAAUGAGCACUCCAAAGGCAGAGCAUCAAAGCUAGUUAAACACAAGAAGAGAGAGCCAAUGGGAAGUCUACUAUUGCAGGUUUUAUUACCAGGUUAGACAAACAUGUAUUAUUGGUGCAGUUGAUUUGUCUUACUCCAAAGCAAUAACUACACACCUUCUCAAAAUCUAUUUUCCUUCCUCCUCACCCUACCCAUUAUUGUUCUCAUGAUCUUAGUCCACUGCAUUUUUUUCUUGGUCAAAUUUACCUCUCUAGGUCAUUUUCAGCCACUGGAACCAAGGGCUGUUAAUAACUCCACUGCUCUCUUUCAAGACAGAAAAACAAAACAAGAGAAAACCUGGACACGCCAAGCCCAGAGGCAAAGGUCUUAUUCUCCAGGGAUAGAAUCCUGUGUAAAACAGCUAUCUCCUCACAAAUCAGGUGACAAAGACCUGCCCUUUCCUAUACCUCUUGCGUUCAUGUGCCAGCUACCUAAUUUUACAAAUUUUAUAGGCUUAGCUGGCCUGUCUGCUCUCUCCUACUGCUAGUAGGAGUUAGGAUCCUUCAGGUGACAAUUAGACGUUGGCUAGGCAAACUGCCUUCAGGAUGUGCUCUCCCCACCAAUUUCAGGCUGACUCUUGAAAGCCAAUGAACCUCAGCUGAAUGUGAGUUGAGGCUUCCAUGCAGUAAAAUAAAGGAAUUUUGUCAGAGAAUGGGAUUGCAAAAUUAAACGGCUCUUGGAGUUAACCUUUAACUUGAAUGGCUAAUCCAGUGGUUUGUAUACCAAGUAUAGGCAAGUUCCUAGUGUUCCCACAAGAAGAGGAGGAGAAGGUGCUUUGGCACAGUCAAUAUGCAGGAUGUUGGCAUUGGGAGGCAGGCCAGAUGGGAGCUCUGAAAGACAUUAUUCUGUUGCUGUCUUUGGGUAAUUCUCACUUGGACUAGUCCUGUGAUGCAGACUACCCACACGGAGAAAUGAGUAAUAAAAACAAUCAAUGGCAAUCAAUAAAGAGAAUGGCUCUUUGUCUGCUAAAAGUUAUGUUUAUCCAGCUUUGUAAGCUUGGUGGUGUGGAGCAAACGAAAGACCUUGCUCUUACUGACAGUAAGGAGGGAGAGAGAGGAAGCAAAAAGAGAAAAGGAAUGGCCUUAUCCCAGCAGGAAAAAAGUAGGGAGAGGGAUGGGAAAGAAUUUUCCCUGCAUCUUUUCUCAAGUCAGAACACCACUGAGGAGGCAUCUGUUUGAUUUAAUUCUCUGAAGGUCAUUUUCACCCUGGAAUCUUUGGCAAUAAUUUAAUGUACAAGGCAGUGAUACUUGUAUUUACCAGGCAUGAAAACAUAAAGUAUCACAUUUCUUUCAUAAAAUUAAGAAGAUGGUAGAUAACUGAGACCCAAUUAGACACAUGGCUUAUAACAUUUGGGGCAAAUAUAUAUGUGUACAUAUGUAAUUUUUCUAAUAUUUUACUGCCUAAACCAGAGUAACUGUCAUAAUUAAUUCAUAUUUAACUGAAUAAUCCCUACUUUCCUGCUAAAUAAAUAAAUAAAUAAAUAAAUAAUGUUUUCAGUUUGCAUUUCUGGCAAAGUUUUAAUGCAAAGGUGCUGAUCUUUUAUCUUCCUCAUUUAUCAAAAGUGCCUUGAAUUACUGGGAUUUUCAGAUAGUGAAUUUUCAGAUAGUGUAUUGUUAUGAUGAACCUCUACAGCUAUACCUGAAAAAUCACUAUUUUGAAGAAACACUGGUUCAUAUUUAGAAAAUAAAUCUUGGGAAAAUAAACCUGGCAUGAAGUUACCAAUUUAGAGACCCACUAACAAGAUUCAGAAUAAGGCAAAAUGGUAUCUACUACCAAACCAGUCUCUAAACCUGAAAAGAAUUUUAACAGAGAUAAUAAUAUUUCACUGAGAGGCCAAGACUAAAUAAAUAGAUUGAUAAAAAAAUUUCAGCUUUUUUAAAUUAUUUUUUUUUAAAUAGCCAUGGAUAAUAAUAAAUUAGCCAGGGAUUUCAGCAUUACUCCAUUUUUAUCAAUUAGGUUUAAAAAGCAGUACAACAUAAAUGUAAGCUAGAAUGGAAUCAAUCUCACUACAGAAUAAUGGAAAAAUUAGCCAUCAGAAUCUAUGUUUUAUCUCCGUACUGUGUAUCUGCAGAAUGACUCCACUGGUAAAAAAUAGUUCUAAAAUUUAACUGAUGUCCAAGUGAGAAUGAAGGUGAAGAAAUUAAGGGUGACUUCAGUUGUGUGUAUGAAAUGUUUAAUGUUCAAUAUGACACUAGCCAGACUAAAACCACAAAUUUUUGUACAUCUGGAUAGUAGAGAAAGAGGAACAGCAACAGCUGCAAAAAUUUAAAACAUAUUUUGUACCAUAACUUUUCAUCCUGGAUUUCUAAACUUUCUGUCUUUGGCCUUUACCCCUAAUUCCUGUGCGAAUUGGGUAAACAAACCCCAAAUUGGUACUGCACAACUCUAAGUUAAUCAUAUUUGUAUUUAUAAGUUAGUUAUCUUAAAGGAAUCUUCAUUCAUCUACAGAAAGAAAUCAUCAAGAUUUUUUUUUCCAGAAAUGACUACAUUAUGCAAAGUAUUCAUAGCUAACAUAACAGUUUUAAGAUAAAUUUGUUUUACUAAUGGUAGGGGCGUUGGAAUUAGAUGAUCUUUAAGGUCCCUUCUAACCCAAACCGCUCUAUGAUUCUAUGAAUCUAAUUUCAGUGUCCUCAAUGGUAAAGUCAUAACGUAAUAUAAUAUUUUAAAGUCAUCCUGGUUUCUUUGAGAAGAGUCAUGCCUAUUCCUUGGGAACAAAUUGAUACAUUGGCGUUUUUUUAACUGAAAAAAAAUAUUAAAUAGCAUCAGAAAUCUGAUUGAAGAGAAGAUGUGAAUGCAUGUAAAACUAUUAGACCAUGAAAUCAAAGUUGCAGUUUUCACAGAGCACUGCUAAGUAUAACUUUUCUGACAAACUUAAUAGGGAAGGAAUUUCUAGUGUCCUUUAUACAUUUAAUAAUGCCUACUAUGGUAAUUUUUCAUAAAUUGUUUAUUUGUAUAUAGUUACCUAAUGCCUGUCUAUACUUCAUCAAUCUAUUGACAUGAAAUCAAGGAAUGAGAGGAGUGACAAGCACUGCGUUUCAAAAUGCCUUGUUCACCUGUUUGAUUUGGUAAAACAAGAAAACGCUUCCCUGUUGGAACAUGAAAAUUGGUACAUUAAUAUUCUACAUAAAUAAAAAUAAUUGUCAAACUAGCAAAAUAAUAGUGGCACCCAUGUUCUAACAGAAGUAGGAAUUUUGGAAAAAACCCAUAAUUUUUGUCUGAUGUAAUAUUUCUGAAGAGUACAUGCCCUUUCACACAAAAUAUGCUGUGUGUUAUUUCCUGCAAUAGCUGCAACUGGAAUUUAAAAUUUACAAAGAGUUUCCAACAAAUAACAUACAGAAUAUUUCAUAAUUAAUGUAAGAACAACCUACAAUGCCUAUGUGUGGACAGUUCUGUUGCACAUGACAGUGUAUGUUCAUCUGAGGUGCAGGAGUUCUAGGGUCAAAUAGGAAAAUCCUGUAUGAAUCUUAAAAGAAUCUUUUAUGGAGUUCACUGUCCACUGCUCACAACCAGGCCUAGGUACUAGAAAA